UACGUAGGGUGCAAGCGUUGUCCGGAUUUAUUGGGCGUAAAGAGCUCGUAGGCGGUUAGUCACGACGGAUGUGAAAACCAGGAGCUUAACUCCUGGCCUGCAUUCGAUACGGGCUGACUAGAGUGUUGUGGGGGAGACUGGAGCUCCUGGUGUAGCGGUGAAAUGCGCAGAUAUCAGGAAGAACACCGGUGGCGAAGGCGGGUCUCUGGGCCGAUACUGACGCUGAGGUGCGAAAGCGUGGGGAGCGAACAGG
rnacentral:misc_RNA from 1 species